AUUGAACGCUGGCGGCAUGCCUUACACAUGCAAGUCGAACGGUAACGGGCCUUCGGGUGCCGACGAGUGGCGAACGGGUGAGUAAUGUAUCGGAACGUACCUUUCAGUGGGGGAUAACGUAGCGAAAGUUACGCUAAUACCGCAUAUUCUGUGCGCAGGAAAGCAGGGGAUCGCAAGACCUUGCGCUGAUGGAGCGGCCGAUCUCAGAUUAGCUAGUUGGUGAGGUAAAGGCGCACCAAGGCGACGAUCUGUAGCGGGUCUGAGAGGAUGAUCCGCCACGCUGGACCUGAGGCACGGCCCAGACUCCUACGGGAGGCAGCAGGGGGGAAUUUUUGACAAUGUGGGCAACCCUGAUCCAGCCAUGCCGCGUGAGUGAAGAAGGCCUUCGGGUUGCAAAGCUCUUUCGGCCGGGAAGAAAUCGCAUCAGCUAAUACCUGGUGCGGAUGACGGUACCGGCAUAAGAAGCACCGGCUAACUACGUGCCAGCCGCCGCGGUAAAAC
rnacentral:rRNA from 1 species